rnacentral:rRNA from 1 species
UACGGAGGGGGCUAGCGUUGUCCGAAGUUACUGGGCGUAAAGCGCGCGUAGGCGGGUUGGUAAGUCCGCUGUGAAAGCCCGGAGCUCAACUCCGGAGGGUCGGUGGAUACUGCCAGUCUUGAAGGUGCUAGGGGGAGAUGGAAUUACCGGUGUAGCGGUGAAAUGCGUAGAUAUCGGUAGGAACACCAGUGGCGAAGGCGGUUCUCUGGGACGGUACUGACGCUGAGACGCGAAAGCGUGGGAGGCAACA